UCCCAGCCAAAGCCAGCCAGCGAUCCAAGCC
rnacentral:piRNA from 1 species